GAGAAAGGAGAGAAAAGAGUCAUUGUCAAUAGCUGUAAGGAGGACCAAAACCUACCAUUAAAUACUCCCUCUAUGGCACAGUGAAAGAAAAGAGACAUUGAGCUGCGCACAAGCAUUCAUGUGGAUCAGGAGAUAAGAGGAUCACGAGGCCUUCUUUUAAUUACUCCAAACAUGCAUGGCUUGUUCCUUUUUUGUUAAUAUCUAUGUAUCAAGAUAUGUUGGUACCCUCAAGGAUUUGCAUCAAUGGGGCUCAUCACUACUCUUUUCACAAGCAUGUUGGUUUGAGAGGUUGAAGCUGCCAGCAUGAUCUGGUAAUCAGCCACACACUCUUUUUUCUCAUCUCAUGCAUAUAAUAAUUCCUCAGAGAAAAUACUGGUAAAAAAUAAUCCAUCUAUUCAUUCUUAGAUCCAAUUCAAGGUUUCCAGUGUGUAUCAAUUUGAAAAAAGUUAUGGAAUUUGAAGAACAAGUGUGUCAACUUUACCUGCCUUUUUUUUUUUUUGAGUUUUUAUUUUCUUUAACUUCUUGAGCCAAGUAAUAAAAGGGACUUGUAAACUGGAGUCCUUAAAGGAAACCUACCAGAAGGGAAAUUCGGUUAUCAUUAUAAUAAGUGGUUCCAUCAGGUCAUCUAGCAGCUUCAAUCACUCAAUAACCAACAGAUUAGUUUCUCAUCUGAUGAAUUCUGGUACUGUUCAACUACAAUCUCAGUCUCAAUUUCAAUUUCUGGUACCAGGCUUUCACUUUCAAUCUCAUUUUUUUUUUCUGAGAUAUUGUUUAAUUUCUUUUUGUACAUGUCUUCUUUUCUCUCCCCGGUAUUAAUUUUUAGUCACUUUUCCAUAUAUACAUAUUCAUGCACAUAUACUAAUUAAUUUGUUAAUAAUGAAAGAAAAUGUUUGUCUGCAAAAAUGAACAAAAGAAGAUGGAAGAGUACUAUAUAUAUGGAUAUAUAUAAGACAAAGGAUAUGAGCUUAAAUUAUAAAUAGCUAGUGAAUAAUUCAUGACCGGCAUGAAUUUAACAUAUUCUGGUUUAGUACUAUAUAUUUCUGUGUAUGCGAGGUUCUACAACAUGAAAGAGAUCCAUCUCAGAGAAACAAUCGUUCACGUAUUUCUUUUGAGUCGUACUCAUUUGUCCCAUAAUCUCAUCAACCUUUCUCUAUACUGCAUAUAAAAUAAAAUAAAAAAAUUCUCUUUUUUUGGGAUGCGUUUUCUGAUAUGAGUUAGAGACGAACGGAGUGGUUAAAUUUGUUAGUUUCCUGGGUAGACAACUGUGUGUGGUCCAAUCUACCUAAGCCCUCUGGAAUGUAUUCAUUCUAUUCAGAAUCUGCUAUAGAAAUAUUUGGAUUAUAUUCAUACUGUAGAUAAAGAUCCACCGACUGAAAUGUUCUGAAGUGGAGGUAAUCGAAAAUGCAUGGACUCUUUUGCACUUCCCUUUUUUUUCCCUUAAAUUUUGCUUAGGUUGAUUGGUGCUGCAUCUCAAUUGAUCUUAGUCUCAUCAUGUUUUAGUUACAUUUAUGGUUGUAGAUUGUGGUACAGUUGCAAUUAUGUUGUGCAUGUUGUGGUUGAUACGGGUUAAUUGCUACCAAUAUGGUCCAAAAACAUAACUUCAUGCUCAGUCUUGGUAGUAAUUGCAACUAAGAAAAUGUUUUCUGAAUAUUAAAAUGAGACAACAAAAAGUUGUCCUUUUUAAUCUGGGGAUAUAUUUUUUUUUAUAUAUAUAAAAGAUAAUAAAUGAGGGAGGAAAAUAUAAUUGUGUACUGUACUGUUACAUGCGGUAUCGAUUUUUUAAUGUACAAAAACUGGAAUUACUGCAAUUAAGACAUUUUGGUAACAUCACGUGAUGCUGUUCAAGUCUGUAAUUUAAAACUGGCUGUACAUGACAAAUGUAAAUAAAUAUUUUCAUGCUUUUAUUAAACUGUUAAAAAUUUCAUUUCAGAUUGAGAGGAAAUUUUACAUAGUAGCCUCUUCAAGCCACUGAAAUCAGAUACUUAAUUUCAAUAUUAGUUGGUUUAACCUGUAAUUCGAUGCCACUUUGUUAGGCACUUGGCAAGGUUUAGAGAGGAAUUAUCUUUUCAUAUGCUGUAUUAUUGGAGCUAUGUAUCUAUCUUUCUUUACUUUGCAUUUUCAAAAAAAAAAAAAAAAAAAAACUUAAUUUCAGUGUAAGCUAGUUAGUUAUUAGGUUGUGUUUUGUCUGCCGUUUGAAGCUAAGUAAGGGAUAUUUGAAGGGAUGUCUUAAAAUCAUAAAGAAAAAUCAAAUUUCUAUACUUUUAUUUCGUGUUUAGAGUUAACUUUUGAUGACGAUUAAUCUUGCCCUAAUUAAGAUUGCAUCUUUUUUUAGCAGGAACUAAGAUUGAAUUUGAGAUAAGAUUUUAAAUUCAACUAAUUUAUUUGUGUGGCUACGUGUCUUUGCCAUGGAUUCUCAGAUUGCGUGUGAUAUCUCCUAUUAUAUACAUGUGUAUAAAUAUAUAUACACACUUAUACAGCUGUUUUGCUUUUAUUUUAUGUAUAUGACAAAUUAAGGAAAAAUCUAUAAUGGGUUGACAAAUAGCAUAUUAAUUGCCAGUGGUAUGUAACCUACAUGUGAAUCUAGAAGUGGCUUAUAAUUUAUUGUGAUAGAUAUGUUAGCUCUUAAAAUGCUUUCCUACUUUGGCUGCAGUUUAAUUAGAAACUUAUUUAAAUAUCAUUUGAGCUGUUUAGUUGAGCUAUAAAUAAUUCAAAAUUUUCUGGAGAUCAAUUCCUAGCGCAGAUUGCUCCAAGUCCAUCACAUGCAUCCAUGUUCAUUUGCUUUUAAGAAGCUAAAAUCAGACAGUCGUGUGGUGAGAAUCCUGUGCUGCUUACCUCAAAGAUUUUAAAGGGGCUGAAAAUUACAGAUUAAAAAAAAAAAAACUAGAAACAAGAAACAAGCUAAAGCUUUGUGUUCCACAAAUUAAUUAUUUAGGGUCUAUUUUUUUUUUCUUUCCAUAUUUAUAGUUGUCGCAUA